rnacentral:lncRNA from 1 species
GAUAAAAUACACAUAUAUAAGGAUCAUAUAGGAUACUUGGUACAAUGUAGAGUGCGUUUUAAGAAAGAACAUGAAUUUUAAUUUCAUACGCAAUCAGUAAAUAACACAUCAACUCUGUUGCUGGUCUUGUUCAUUCAAAAGACUUGAAAAGUUACUUCUACAUUAUUCAUCCAUCCGGGAAAAGAAAGAAAAUUACAUUUUAUUGUUCAAAACUUCUAAACGAAACUGACAAGUGAAGACAACAUAGCUGCAAUGUUCACUGUUCUUCAUCGAUAGCCAGCGGCAUCGUCUUCACCUAAAAUAUAGCCACAAAAGGAGAAUAUUAAUACACAUUCAUAUAAUCAUGAAAAACUAAUCAUUGAUUUAAUUUUACAAACUAUCUGUCCUUUCAGUUUUAAUUACAUACCAUUCUUGGGCAAAAAUAAUAGUGUCUACCCGGAUUCUUUUCCGACAUUGAAAGUUUUACUAUACAAGGGCCCGUACCACAACAACAUGAACAGAAGGUCGAUGAGGUCGAUGUUUGUGAUUCCUCAAUCCAAGGAUCAAAAGCACAAGGUACUGAAGAAGGUGCAUUGCCAGAACCAGGAAAUGAAGUUUUGAACUCUCAAGAUAAUGAAUAUGAGGCAAUGGAUACAGUUACUGAAGUUGUUGAGAUAGAUGUUCAAGAUGUCAAAGAGGAUAGGUCAUGUCAUCAAGAUAAGCAGGAGUAUGGAUGUGUUUUGUGGGAUCUUGCAGCAAGCAAAACUCAUGUUGAACUUAUGGUACUUUUGUUGAUUUCACAUUAUAUAGCUUUACGUUAAUCUUCAUGUUCAUUUGUUUUAAGUACCAAUAGACAUAUACAUUUAAAGAAGUUUCAUGGGAACUUUUUAUUCUAUAUUGAAACAGAAGCAUUUAAUGAAUGAGUUAAAUAACAAGGGAAAAGGCGGAAAGAUUUGAGGAACCUUACUGCAACCUCUAUCUAAUUCCUAACAUUGAUCUCAAAUACAACUCCUCAGUUCUUAAUAUUUUAGCCUAAUUAAAAUCCCUGAUUUUUUCAAACAAAAGAGACAAUCCUAUUGUGAGUCCUAAGACUCCUAACAGAUUAGCUUGCAAUAGUAGUUAAGAUGGGCUUGCAAUCGACUUCCUUAACUCAUGAACUGUAGCUUUCAUUAAGAGCUUAAACACAUACUCCAUCCAUCCAACUUUACUUGAUUCCUAAUAUCUCGGCCUUCAUGAAAAUCCCUAAUUUUUUCAAACAAAAGAGACAUGGUUGCGAGUCCUAGCAGAUUAUCUUGAUAUAGCAGUUGAGAAGGCUUUGCAAAUCUACUUACUAAAUCAUGAAUUGUAACUUCUUAGGUCCCACUUUACUUGUCUCCUUUAUUUGGGUAAGUUUGUGUUCCACAACUUUUAAACGUGUUGAAACAUAUAUAUGUUCUGUUUACCCUUUGUUUAAUUUAUUAGUAGUCUGCCAUAUUUAUGAUGUUGCUAUAGCAGAAAAUAAGAGUUGCUAUUCUUUUUCAUAUUUUAUGUGCCCUGUUAAUAACUACUAGUUCCCCCUCUCCCCGGCCACAUAUUUACACGUCUGUUCUGUUUGUAACAAAUUGUAACUGCUAUAUAUAUAAACAACACACAAAUCUUUUGCUUUUUCAAAUAUAAAUAUCUUCUAAAAUCUCUCUUCAGAAGUUAACAUGAUCCUAGAUUUUUUCUUAUCUAAGAUAAAAUCACAAUCUUCAGCUAAGCAUUUCAACAAACAAAUUAUGAACAUGAUUAGAUUAUAAAUCAAUAACAACUACAAAAAGCAUAUGCUCAGAAAUUUGUGGAAAACGCAUAUGGAGCCACAACUGACCUUACGAUUUGCAAACCCUAGCUUCAAUCCAACUGCCCAGCCACAAAAUAACUAUACAAACCCUAGAUUUCUUUCAAAUCAACAAGUUUGCAACAGGGUCGUUCGAUCUCACUGACCUUCCGAAUCGUAAGAGUGAGAGAGAGCCUAGCGGGGAGAGAGAAUCGGGGAAGAAGAGUGAGAGAGAGCCUAGCUUCCGAAUCGGUAGAGUGAGAGAGAGCCUAGUGUUAUUCAUAUCACUGCCCAGCCACAAAAUGGGUUUUUG